rnacentral:lncRNA from 1 species
CUUCCUCCGCAAAGGCUCCCUCUCCACCACCAUCCGCGAGCUCGGCCACAUGGGUUUGCCCGAGAGAGCCUUGCAGACCUACCGCUGGGCGGAGAAGCAUCCUCAUCUCUUUCCUGAUAACCGCAUCCUCGCGUCCACCAUCCAGGUCCUAGCCAAGCACCGCGAGCUGAAGCUCCUCAAGUUCGACAACACCUUGGCUAGCAAGAGCGUUAUCGAAGCCAUGAUCAAAGGCUGCAUCGAAGGCGGUUGGCUGAACCUAGCGAGGAAGCUUUUACUGAUAGCUAAAAGUAACAACCGUGUCCUCGACUCGAGUAUCUACGUUAAGAUGAUUCUAGAGAUCGCUAAAAACCCUGACAAGUACCAUCUCGUUGUUUCCCUCCUCGACGAGUUGAAAGAUAGAGAAGACUUGAAGCUGAGCCAGCAAGACUGCACGAGCGUGAUGAAGAUCUGCGUGAAACUUAAAAGGUUCGAGCUCGUUGAGUGUCUCUUUGAAUGGUACAAAGAAUCAAACAGAGAGCCGAGCGUUGUGAUGUACACUACCAUGAUACACAGCAGGUUUUCGGAAGAGAAGUAUAGAGAGGCGAUGAGUAUGGUUUGGGAGAUGGAGGAAUCGAACUGUCUUCUUGAUCUUCCUGCUUAUAGAGUGGUCAUUAGAUUAUUUGUGGCGUUGGAUGAUUUGGGAAGAGCAAUGAGAUACUACUCUAAGCUCAAGGAAGCUGGUUUUACUCCAACGUAUGAUGUUUUUCGCGAUAUGAUCAGCGUUUGUAUAGCUUCUGGGAGAUUGACAAAGUGUAGAGAGAUAUGUAAGGAGGUUGAAGAUGCUGGAUUGAGGUUGGAUGCAGAGACUUCGUUUAGGUUGUUUCAGCUCGAAAACCAAACAAUGUCUCUAUAAAGUAUUAAGACUUGUAAUAGAGUUUUGUGUUCUCUUUGAUUAGAGAUAUAACAUUUUUGUGAAUACAAGAAAUUCUAUGAUAAAACAUUUUGUGGUUUUACUGUUUGAUAGUGUUUUCAGGAAAAGACGAAAGUGGAAACUGGACAAGUUCAGAAUCAGACAUAGCUACUCUCUUGUCUGCUGGAACUGAUUCUGGUCCAUCCAUGGAUGGUUUAAUAACUGUAAAGAACAAAAUAUUAUAGAACAGAGUAAAAGCUAAGAGAAGAAAAGCUGUAGUUGUGAGGAACGAUCCGGACAUCUCAGGUGGUUCUUCAAACAUGAACGGAUCCAUAGAUGAAGAACCUCCACUACUUGUUCUGACAACGUCCGAUGAUGUCUUGACGAAGGUUCUUGGUUUUUCAUCGGCUUGAGAUUCGAUUUGUUGGUCAAGCUGUUUCAGAGCUUCUCUAGCUUUAUCUCUAUCGAUUUCGAAUCUUUGUGAAGAAGAAGAAGAAGAAGGUGAGUCGUCUCUUUCAGUGGCUCUUACAAUACCCAUCAGAUGUUUUUUCUUCUUCUCCAUGAAUCCGCCAUGUACGUACCAAUUAAGAGACUGUAUCCCUAACACCACCAUUCUCUGUUUCUUUUCUUCUACGGCUCUCUGUGAUGAUGAUAAAUGUUGUGUGUGUGUGGACAUCGUUGUUGGCAAAAUUGUCAGAUACCACAGGCUUCUUAGUGGAUUUUUAUUGUCGUUUCAAAAUAAGAAUUUACAGGCCCAUUCGAAAGUAUUUUAAGGCUUCAAAUAAAAAGGUAUGAUAUUUAAUUAUUUAUACACUCCAUUUGAUCAAAUCCUAAGGUCAUACAAAAUAUUACAAAGUUGGUUGAAAUAAGCAACAAUAUAAAUCACAAUAACUUGAACCCUUGUUUUUGAUGCUCUUAGUUAAAAGCCUUAUUUGAUCACACAAUUUAGCAAUUCUAUAGAAUUUUAUAGAAUUACAAUAACUUGAAACAGCAGAAGAAACCAAUGAUGUGCACAUCAGGUGGUCUCACAUAUUCCGCACAACAAUCGAAAUGGAUAAAUCUCUUACAAAUCAAAAAUCUCAAAUUAAAAGUAUGUUUGAAUCACUCUCUCGCUCUCUCUCUCUCUCUCUUUCUUUUUAGAGGAAUGAUCUUUAAAAGUGGCCAAAAGUUUUGGAUUAUUUGGACAAGGUGAAUUGGUGAAGAACAUUGCCGGAAAUAUCAUAGUAGAUGAACUUAGCUUGAUAGUGAGUAAUGUGAAGAGACAUGAAACCUUGUCCGUCGUAAUAAAGUUUUAGUUCUUUUGGAUCCCACGGCAGAAUAACUCCUCUCCAUGCCUUUGAUCCUCCUCCACUUGUCAGAAAUUGAAUCCCACUUCACCAAUUCCAAACAAUGAAUUAUUUAGGUUUUGUCUGAAGUAGUAAACAUUUAAACUUAACUAAGACUUUGACUAAUCUAGAUUCAAAUAAAAUUUGUUUAAAACAAACUGACUUCGUGUUUUAUUUUUCAUUCAAGAAUGUAAACCAAUACGAUCCCUAUUGAUGAAAAGAAGAAGUAAAUAGAACUUUACCCGUCNNNNNNNNNNNNNNNNNNNNNNNNNNNNNNNNNNNNNNNNNNNNNNNNNNNNNNNNNNNNNNNNNNNNNUUUUUUGAAUAAAUUUAACAUUUAUUCAAAAAAAAAAAAAAAAAGUUCAUCUUCUUCCUCGUGUUCUCUCUCUAUCUCAAAACCCUAGCUGUUCCCUAUUCAAUUAAGCUAGGUUACUCUCAAUUCGAGUUUGAUUCACUGUGAAUUAGAAAACCAACGAUGAUGCAUUGUCCUGUCUCUUCGUCACUUAUCUUCCAACCGAGCAGUAUCCGAGCAACAUCGAAAGUCUACGCAAAGAAGAAACUCACUAAGAAUCUCCGUAACCCACGCCGCACCAAACUCCCUCCUGAGUUCGGUGUCAACUUGUUCCUAAGGAAACCCAUCACAGAACCGUUGUUACCACUACAAGAACAAGAAGAAGAAGAUCAAGAGCUUGAUGGUAGUCCUGAUGUCUGGGAACCAAACGAAAUCGAAGCGAUCUCAUCUCUUUUCCAGCAAAGAAUCCCUCAGAAACCAGAGAGAGUGGUUCGAGUCAGGCCUCUACCACUUCCUCAGCCUCACAAGCUACGACCUUUAGGCCUCCCAACUCCAAAGCCCAACAACAUCAAGAAACCACUCGUGUCAUCAUCAUCAAAAGACCCGAGCUUUCUCAUCAGUUUAGCUAGAGAGAUCAAACACUUACCUUCCCCUGAAGCAGACGUCUCUCUCGUCCUCAACAAAUGGUCCACCUUCCUCCGCAAAGGCUCCCUCUCCACCACCAUCCGCGAGCUCGGCCACAUGGGUUUGCCCGAGAGAGCCUUGCAGACCUACCGCUGGGCGGAGAAGCAUCCUCAUCUCUUUCCUGAUAACCGCAUCCUCGCGUCCACCAUCCAGGUCCUAGCCAAGCACCGCGAGCUGAAGCUCCUCAAGUUCGACAACACCUUGGCUAGCAAGAGCGUUA